rnacentral:rRNA from 1 species
AUAGCGUAUAUUUAAGUUGUUGCAGUUAAAAAGCUCGUAGUUGGAUUUCGGGUGGGUUCUAGCGGUCCGCCUAUGGUGAGUACUGCUAUGGCCUUCCUUUCUGUCGGGGACGGGCUUCUGGGCUUCACUGUCCGGGACUCGGAGUCGACGUGGUUACUUUGAGUAAAUUAGAGUGUUCAAAGCAGGCUUACGCCCUGAAUACUUUAGCAUGGAAUAACACGAUAGGACUCUGGCCUAUCUUGUUGGUCUGUAGGACUGGAGUAAUGAUUAAGAGGGACAGUCGGGGGCAUUCGUAUUUCAUUGUCAGAGGUGAAAUUCUUGGAUUUAUGAAAGACGAACUACUG